AACGAACGCUGGCGGCGCGCCUAAUACAUGCAAGUCGAACGAGAAGGUGUAGCAAUACACUUGUACAGUGGCGAACGGGUGAGGAAUGCAUGGGCAACCUACCCUCGAGUGGGGAAUAACCAGCCGAAAGGUUGGCUAAUACCGCGUACGCUUCCGGGUCUCCGGAUCCGGAAGGAAAGUCACACCGUGGGUGUGACGCUCAAGGAUGGGCUCAUGUCCUAUCAGCUGUUGGUGAGGUAACGGCUCACCAAGGCAACGACGGGUAGCUGGUCUGAGAGGACGAUCAGCCACACUGGCACUGCGACACGGGCCAGACUCCUACGGAGGCAGCAGUAAGGAAUAUUGCGCAAUGGGCGAAAGCCUGACGCAGCGACGCCGCGUGGGGAGUG
rnacentral:rRNA from 1 species